UACGAAGGGGGCUAGCGUUGCUCGGAAUCACUGGGCGUAAAGGGUGCGUAGGCGGGUCUUUAAGUCAGGGGUGAAAUCCUGGAGCUCAACUCCAGAACUGCCUUUGAUACUGAAGAUCUUGAGUUCGGGAGAGGUGAGUGGAACUGCGAGUGUAGAGGUGAAAUUCGUAGAUAUUCGCAAGAACACCAGUGGCGAAGGCGGCUCACUGGCCCGAUACUGACGCUGAGGCACGAAAGCUGGGGGAGCAAACCGG
rnacentral:rRNA from 1 species